UGGAAUGUUUGGUUCAACUUCUCUUGCAAGGUGCUGGGGUCUGUUCCAGACUUUUCCUUUGGACACUUCUUCAGAUGCAAUUUCUGAAGCACAGAAACUCUGAAGCAGGAGACCAGGACACCCCUUCUGGCUGGUGGAGCGUUUAUUUUUUCUGAAAAUCGAAUUGCUUUCUCCAAACAAGGACAUCACUCAGGAACUUCAGGGACUGUCUGCAUUAUGAAGGUGUCAGCCGUUGAAAUGCUCCUUGUGUUGCUGGUGACUGGAAUACAUUCGAAUAAAGAAAC